UGCGAGAUCGUCUAAUGGUAGGACUACGGUUUCUGGAACCGUGUAUCUUGGUUCGAAUCCAAGUCUCGCAGCCA
rnacentral:tRNA from 2 species